rnacentral:rRNA from 1 species
UACGUAGGGUGCGAGCGUUGUCCGGAAUUACUGGGCGUAAAGAGCUCGUAGGCGGUUCGUUGAGUUGUUCGUGAAAACUCACAGCUCAACUGUGGGCGUGCGGGCGAUACGGGCAGACUGGAGUACUGCAGGGGAGACUGGAAUUCCUGGUGUAGCGGUGGAAUGCGCAGAUAUCAGGAGGAACACCGGUGGCGAAGGCGGGUCUCUGGGCAGUAACUGACGCUGAGGAGCGAAAGCGUGGGGAGCGAACAGG